rnacentral:lncRNA from 10 species
UGUCUCAGCAGAGUCUGGCCAAAAGUAGACUAGUGGUUGCCAGAGGGGCUGGGGCCUGGUGGGAGGGAGGGGAUUAGAGUGACAGCUAAUGCGUAUGGGGUUUCUCUCCGGGGCAGUGGGGGCAGAGGGGGACAAAAAAUGUUCCAAAAUUAGAUUGUGGUGAUGGUUACACAGCCCUAUGAAUAUGAUUUUUAAAAAAUCAUUGAUGCACAGGGACGGGCGCACAAGGCUGUGAGUUCAACCUGCGCUGUGAAUUGUGUAAUAUGUUGACUAUCGCAAUAAAGCUGUUUUUAAAAGACUUGUCAAUUAUUUGCAAUGAAUGGACCUGAUGUCGAUCUUAGUCGAAACAAGCACACUCUAAUCAAGGCAAGCUGAACAUUAAGUGGAUAUCUGAUGAUAUAAAGGAAUGAUCAUUGAUAAUUUUAUGUGUAAUAAUUUUUUUGUUGUUGUUGAGUCCUUAUCUUUUAGAGAUAUACAUGGAAAUACAUAUGGAUGAAAUGCUCUGAUGUCUGAGAUCUACUUUAAAAACUGGUGGAGUGGAUACAGGGAGUGGGUGAGCUAUGAAGACUGGCUCACAUCAAAACCGGCUCAGCGACUCACUAUACCAUCUUCUCUGCUCUUGUAUGUUUCAAAUUUUCCACAACUAACAAGAUUUAAAACAAUCAAUCUAGAGGUGAACAAAUGCAUCUAUAAGGAGAGCAGACCCAUCACAGAAAAUACAUAACACACAAGGCCAAGAUGAGCUCUCCCUGUAUUGCCCAGGCUGGUCUCAAACUCCUGACUUCAAGUGAACCUCCUUGCCUUGACCUCCCAAAGCGCUGGGAUUAUUACAGGUGUGAGUGACUGCACCAGGCCUUCUGUAUGCUUUUUUAUCAUAAGGAUGUCUUCCAAGUGUCCGCCUGUACCCCCCCAAAAAAUGGGCAGAGAACUCAAGAGGGCAGUUCUUCGUGGUCAAGUGGAUACAAUGUUCACCUGCUAACAUUACAGUAAAGAACCUCCCUCCUCCCUGGGUACCCAGUGCACCAGCAAGGAGUUCAGCCUUCUGGGGAUGAUGCAGCACAUACAUGCAAGUGCAGGGCCCUCCCUGCCUCUUUUGCACACUGACAGCAUAUCACACAUGGCGUUUCACACCAUGCUUCUUUGUAUUUAAUGUCUAUCUUGAGGAGCUUCU